rnacentral:rRNA from 1 species
UACGGAAGGGGCAAGCGUUGUUCGGAAUCAUUGGGCGUAAAGGGCGCGUAGGUGGUUCUGUAUGUCUACCGUGAAAGCGUACGGCUCAACCGUAUUUUGUCGGUAGAAACUGCAGGACUUGAGGCUGGGAGGGGCUGGUGGAAUUCCCUGUGUAGCGGUGAAAUGCGUAGAGGUAGGGUGGGAGAACACUCGUGGCGAAGGCGGCCAGCUAGACCAGUUCUGACACUGAGGUGCGAAAGCGUGGGGAGCAAACAGG